CCAAGUUCUGAGGGUUAAGUUACAAAUGUCCUUCACAUGACACUGUCUUGCCACUCCAUUUAGGGGUAAGACUAAACAAGAAAACGAACAGAUUGGGUGAAUACUGGGAGAAACGGCCCGCAUUUCUUACAGGAUCCGUCGUCACCGUAGAACCAGGACAAGUUUCAUUUUCCUAAACUGUCUGGCUUUCUCACUUUCCCUUAACAGUCAGUGAGACAGAGAAGCGGCCAACCCUGAAAAUAAAAUGAUUCCGCGUCUGUCCCCAGGGCCGGAGUUCUCUGAGCUACAGAUCUACGAAGGGCACGAGAAAGAGGGGAAAACAGAAAAGAAAUCAUCUCAGCUAAUUCAAUUGUGGGUUUCCUCGGAUCAAAGACAAACUACCAGAGCAUACCAAGCUCAAGACUUUACGCGUAGGAUGCUGGAGGCCCUCUCCUCAUGAAUUACAUUAAGGCUAUAUAUGGUACACAUGUGGCCUCCGUGGAAGUGUAUUUAAAAGAUGAUUUUUUUUUAUCACUGGCAAUCUAAGGAACAGCAUCCAAGGAGGUCUCAUUCUGGUGAUGUUUAAGUUCUAGAAGGUUGGAGGAAGUGAGCAAAAUGAGUAAACACUAAAAGGGACAGUAAAAGGGACUGAAUCCCAAAGGAGCAAAUAAAACUCCUAGAAAAUCUGUA